rnacentral:lncRNA from 1 species
CUCAAGGGCCAAACUAGAAGGAAAACGUUGGCUUAUAAAACAAGAAACUGAAGCCAGAAAAUCGCCUGAAGUUUCGAGCACAUUUAUGUUAUCCAAAUUUAAGUGUUUGUAUGUCUCACUGUAUUCUUGUGAGGUAAGUAGUAUUAUUUCCACUUUAAAAAGUGUAACUUAAUUUUUACAGCUCAUUCUCAUUUUACAGAAAAGGAAAAUUAAUGAGAUUCAGAAGUCAGACCAAGGUCCUAUUCCCAAUAUUAUUGUUUUGUCUCCUACAAAAGAUGAGUUUUGUUUAUUUUCAAAAGCGUUACAAUUCUUAUCGGUUUGUAUGUGACUAUAAAAUGAUUUAUGACUGGCUCCGUUUUGAGUUCAUUCUUUGUUCCCCUUCCCCUGAAUAAUUUCUCCUUUUGUUUCUAAGUGCAAAUUUCUAAUUGGACUACAUUUCUUUACCACCCCCUCUCAUAAAAGAGGAAAGUUUAAAAAAGCUAAUUCCUAUACACGCCACGAGUGGGGAGAAAAGCAGACAAGACUGAAAAUUUCAAAAUGAACACGGCACCUAAUUUCUAAGAUGUCUUUUUUUUUUAAAUUAUUAUUAGUUGUUCAAAACAUUACAAAGCUCUUGACAUAUCGUGUCUUGAACGCAGUGUAGUUAAAACUCCUCCUAAGAAAGAACUUCAGAGACUUUGAUCCCUGUCAUUUGUAAUGAUGGAGUAAUGGGAGGUAAGGUAUUUGUGCAAUGAUUUCAAUAACAACUUAGGGUAUAGUAAAUGGCACAACAUUUUUUUAACUAGACACUUUUCUUAUACAUGUUGUCUCUCUUAAUCUUUAUAACAAUGAUGUGAGACAGAAAACAUUAUUAUCUCCAUUUAUUUACAGGGAAACUAGGCGUAAGAAAGUUAAGUGAUACUCAUAAAGUUACCUAGCUAGUCAGGAGCAGAUAUUGGAGUUAAAACACAGGUGGAUAGUGUUUAUUUUUUCCUUUUUUUAAUAACAGCUUUAUUGAUAUUUAAUUUGUAUAUUAAGAUGUACCGUUUGUGGGUUUUUUUAGUAUUAUACCCGAUGACUUUUUUACUGUAUUCACAGUUUUACAAUAAUCACUAAUCAUUGUUAGAACAUUUUCAUUACCUCAAAAAGAAGUUUCCUGUAGCUGUCACCUCAGUCACCCCAUUCCUCACAACCCUAAGCACCUACUUAUAUAUUGUCUUUCUCGAUGGAAUUGCCUGUUUUGGAUGUGACAUGUAAAUGCAAUAUGAGAUUUUUGAGACUAAUUUCUUUCACUUAGAAUGAUGUUGUCAAGGUUCAUCCAUGUUGUAACAUCUAUCAGCUCUGCACUUCAUUCCUUUCUUUGGCCAAAUAAUAUUUCAUAGUAUUAAUAUGCCAUGUAUUGUUAUUGAUUCACCACGUAAUGAAUAUUGGGGUUGUUUCCACCUUUUGGUUACUAUAAAUAAUGCAGUCAUGAACAAUUUUUUUUGUGUGUGAAUGUACAUUUUCACUUUUCUUGGGUAUAUACCUAAGAGUAGAGGGCUGGACCAAAGGGUAACAAUGUUUAACUUUUUAAGGAAAUCUCAGGCAAAAUCCCAAAUGGGCUAUACCAUUUUCAUUCCUACCAUCAUGUUUGAUGGCUCCAAUUUCUGCACAUCUUUGCCAAUACUUAUUUUCUGCUUUGUUUUUAAUUUUAGCCAUCCAAGUAAGUGAGAGUGUUGUAUUAUAUUUUUUUAUUUGCAUUUCACUGUGAAUGUUGAGCAUUUUUAAAAUUUAAUCGUUGGACAUUCGGGUUUCUCUUUUUCUUUUUUGAGAAAGGGCUAUUCAGAUCCUUUCCUCACUUUUUUUGUUGUUAUUGAGUUUAAAGGGUUCUGUAUGUAUUCUGAACACAGGUCUGAAAGCUUUAAUUUCAUUUUCUUGCCUAAUUGCCCUGGCUAGAACCUCCAGUACACUGUUGAAUAGAAGUAGAGAAUGCACAUCCUUGUAUUGGUCUUGAUCUUAGGGGGAAACUUUCAGUCUUUCACCAUUAGGUAUGAUGUUAGCUGUGGAUGUUUUGUAGAUUCCCUUUACCAGGUUGAAGUUCACUUCUCUGUUUACUUAGAGUUUUUAUCAUGAAAGAGUCUUGGAUUUUGUCAUAUUUCCCCCUCAUCUAUUGAAGUGGAAUAAUUGUUAUGUGAUUAAAAGAAAAUCAUCAUACAUACUGAAGUUCUUACCCCAGGAAAUUUCAUCUGGUGGCCUAGCAUUGUGGGACUUUCCCUGAUUGCUUUUGUGAUGAGAGUCCAUAUUUUUAUGGAAUAUAAUCAAAUGAGUUGUAGACUAGAAUAUUAAAAUUUGGGUUCAAGUGUUGACUUGUUGAUUUCCUGGAGACUGUUACAGCAAUUAUUUUACUUAGAACCAUUUUCAUUUCACAUACCAGGAAUCCAACUCAAAUACAUUUUCAUUUCACCAUACAAGGAAUCCAACUCAAAUUCAUAUGAAUUUCAAAGGUAUUUUCAUGCUUUUUAUUCAUCAUUUCUACCUUUCGGAGUUUACCUUAUAUACUUGCAAAAGUGAUCAUGUUAUUUGUAGAAGGUUGUUCACUGCAGCAUUAUUCAUAAUAGCAGGAAAAUGGAAACACACGAUUGAUUAUGUAAACUAGGAUAAAGACAUAAUAUGGAACUCCCUGUCACUAUUCCAAAGGUUUAUGUACACAUAGAAGAUAUCGCUGACAUAGGAAGACUUUUUAAUUUUUACCCCAAAUAAUUUUGAAUUAUAUAUUUUUAUAAUAAACAACAUAUACCAAUAUUAAUUUUGUCAUUAAAAACAAACAUGCUGAAAAUAUAUCUUAAGUGAAAAAUGCUUUAAAAAAUUUUAGAUAAUUAAAAAUUCAAGAAGAAUAAUUGUAUUUUAUUUUUUAAAACUGUAUUGUGGGGCCAUGGGUAUUUAUUAGAAUUAUUCUGUCUGUACACAUAUUUAUAAAUAUUGUUUUGUAUAUACUUCAUUUAAUAAAAAGUUAUACUCAUGAUACCUGAUUAUUUUUAUGUAAUAAUUACUCUUUUAAAAAGACUAGUGCAGGGCUGGGGUUGCGGCUCAGUAGGAGAGUGCUUGCCUCACACAUUUGAGGCACUAGGUUUGAUCCUCAGCACCACAUAAAAAUAAAUUUAAAAAAAUAAAGAUAUUGUGUCUAUCUAUAACUAAAAAAGAAAAAGACUAGUGCAAAUAAAUUUUUUUUCAGUGAGUUGGAGAACUGACUGAACUACGGUCAGUUCAUUCAAGUUUUUCUCUAUCAGAAUCCAUGUAGAUUCUCUCAAACAUGAGAAGAAAAAACUCUCAGUUUUUUACAGCCUAAAUUUAUUGGUGUACAAAGAUAACUUGCUGAUAUGGAUGGUAUUGUGUCCCUCUCUAAAAAAAAGAUAUGUUGAACUCCUAACCCCCAGUACUCAGAAUGUGACCUUCUUUUGGAAAUUGGGUUAUUGCAAAUGUAAUUAAGAUGAGGUCCUAAUGGAGUAGAGUGGGCCUCUAAUCCCAUGUAACUUCUGUCUUUGUCAGAAUAUGAACUUGUGAGGACAGGAACACACUGGGAGAACAUCUCAGAUGGCAAGCCAGAGAAUGGAGUUAUGCAGCUGCACAGGACUUCUGAGACAAGACUGCAAGUCUCCCCACCUAUAAGAUAAUAUAUUUCUGUUAUUUGAAAGCACCCAGUUUGUGGUACUCUGCCUAGGAAACUAAAACUUAUAAUUAUUAUAAAUAUUAUCUUGACAUCAAAUCAUAAUUAUCAGAUUCAGUGUAUUUCACACCACUAAGCCAACAUACUUAUCUUCUAUUUAAAAGAUUCUCUGAAAUACAGCUGCAUGAGUGGCAGCUCACUGUUUUGUAUAUAUGUGUGUGCACGCACACACACAUUGGAAAUGAGAAGGUUACUGUCCACCCUGUCCCCAGUGGCUAUAGCUGAGGAGGGAAAUUAGAAGCUGAGGUACCUAGAGGGACUUUUAACUUAUUGGCUUUUAAAAAAUAUUAUUUUUUUAUCAUUAAAAAGAAAAAAGAGUUUGUCUAUCCCUCUCAUGCUCCCUUUCCCUAUCCCACUCUGCAUCAGAUUCCUUAUAUCAAAGAAAACUUUCAGCAUUUGGAUUUCUGGGAUUGGCUAACUUCACUUAGCAUUAUCUUCUCUAACUCUAUAGACAAACUCUAGAUAGGGCAGAGUUGUUGGAGGGGAAGGGAGGGGCAUGGGGUUAUAAAUGAUGUAGAAUGUGAUGAUCAUUAUUAUCCAAAGUACAUGUAUAAAGACACGAAUUGGUGUGACUAUACUUUGUGUACAAAUAGAAAUAUGAAAAAUUGUGCUCUAUGUGUGUAAUAAGAAUUGUAAUGCAUUCUGCUGUCAUAUAUAAAUAAAGAAAAAAGAAUAAAAAAGUGUUAUUCUAGAUUGGAAAGCCAGUAGAAAAGUAACAAAUUCUUGGAUUGUGCUCCUAUUUCACUUAAAAUAUUCAUUUUAAGGUAAGCUAGUCUAUAGAUAAAUUGGGAACAUGUGAUUUAAGACUUGUGUGACCAUAUAUUCAGGUCAUGCCCAUGUACUUACCAGUAGUACCCACUUUUACUCUCAAACGUGUUCUGGUUUGAAUGAUAAAUUACAUUGUUAUCUAACUAAUGGUCUUUAAGAUCCUAGUUUUUGCUUGAGUCACUAAGGAGGAUUUUCUUGUUGAAGGCCAACAUCAACAAAUAAUGUAUUUCUGGUCAGCCCGCAAAGGUUUCAAGGUAAAUGUUACUAGUAGAAUACAGCAAACCUAUAAUUUCUUGAAGUUUUGAUAGACAUGCGCUAUGAAAUUCUUUGAAAUUGUGCUUUUUAUCUUUAAAAUCAUGGAAGGGAAAUGUACACAGCCUUUCUGUUCACACUAAUGAGGAAAGCUCUCAAGCCCUUUUCACUGGCUUUUUAGACUAAUCCUUGUAAAAAAAUUUACUUAUAUAUUGAGUAAGUGGAAAUAUAUGUUGA